AACAACAAGAAUCACAUCAACCACAUAAAACAAAGUUUUAACUAAAAUAAUACAAAUUGAAACAAAAAUUACAAAGAAUCAAUACAAUAAUUAUAACAAAUACUAGUUCUUCUAAAAAAUUAAAACGAGACAGCCUAAGAUGACCACACACAAUCAACAAAAAAAUGUAAACAACAGAAAAUUUUCUGUUCAUGGAGCCCAUCAACCUCAACAUCUUUAAGAUCGUAUUUCAACAUUUCGCCAAAUCAUAACAUUUGGUCCCAUAAGUAAUUUAAUGCCAUGUUUAAUCAUGAAGUCUGCACCAAUGAUAACCUGGUCCAUGAUAUCGGGAACAAUAAAUACAUGAUAUACGCUUAAGCUUGCAAUGGUUAAUUUCGCAUUUAAUUCACCAUGGACAGUGGCAUGUUAUAAAUAACUUAAUUUGGUUUAUAAACAAGUGCACGUUGGUAACACUUGAUUCAAAAUGAUUGGAAAAUACAAGUGAGUACACACCUGUGCCCAAAACAGCCACCCCACACACUUAUAUGCCAUCUUGCGAUACUUGCAUGCACCGAAAAUCUCGAGUAGCUCCGGUCAUCAAGGAGAGAAUUGAACCAACUGCUCAUCUUCAGAAAAUAGUUUCCAGCUUUCGCAUUUCGACAAAAUAGUUUGCACGAUAUCAUCCAUAGCAAUCAACAAUAGCCUGGAGUAUAAAUUUCAUCAAAGACAUCUAUAAUCAACAACAGCCUGGAGUAUAAAUUUCAUCAAAGACACCUAUAAUCAGCAAUAGUAUUAGAAAUUGUCAUCAUCACAAAAAUCAUCCCUAGCCAUCAACAAUAUCCAAGACAACAUCCCAGAUAAGUACUUGUUAAGUAGCUUGAAGUUUGUUUUUUCCUUGCCUUAUUAUGUGGCGCCUAAAACAAAUCCACCAAUUUCAACGUAAAUUUUAGUAUUUUUUUUUAAUUUUUUUUACUAUAACCAAAAAAAAUCAAGUUCUGUUUUAAUGUCUGUUUUAAUAGAUAGUGAGUCUGUCCGCGAUCCAAUGUACUCAUUGAUAUGGAGAGGAUCCAUGCCAAUGGUAUAGCAGGGAACUGGCAAUGUAGCUGAGGCACCCUUAGCGAGUUUUCACUAAAGCUCAGCUCGAUUUGGAGCUUUUUUUUCUUUUCGGUCCACAACAUUAUCAAAAUUAAGAGUCAAAAAUAUAUAAUUCAGGACAAAAUUUGUAAAACCAUUCGAUUCAGUUUCUCAUUAAAAUAAUUUUCGGCACUUCGACACCCAUCCAAAUUUGAAUUAGAAUUAUUAACAACAAUUAGAAACAUUUCGGCCUAAAUUUAAAUUUUCCCACUAAUUAUUUUUAAGAUAUUCAUAGUUUUUAAUAUAAGAUUUCAAAUAGUAUAUUAAUUCGCCAUCUGGCUUAAGUUAAAUAUCUGUGAAACAACCAUAAUCAAAUUUGAAUAUAUUGAACAUUUAAGUCAACUUUAAUAUGACUUCUAUUUAAACAGGCUAUAGAUGUAGGUAUCGAGAUGUGAUUUCGUGAAUGGGUUAGUUUCACAGAUUUGAAGAACUACCAUGGUUUAGGGGAGGGUUUAUAUAUAUAGGCAAUAACACCAGGAUCUACAAGUAAGAGUCUGCGAAAUUAACAUGCACUGGUACAAUAGUAUUAUGUUGUCCUGUUUUUGCUAUCGCUACAACGUACCACCGCCCAUGCCCGACGAGCAUUCGCCGUGCACAUCUGAAAAGUUACCAGUGUGGUAGCGAUAGGAAAAACAACACUAAGAGUAGGAUGGAUGAAAUGUUUAGUCUGGUAAUUCCUUGGUCAUUCAGGAUACUUGAAUUGAAAAUAUUUACUUAGUGAAACGUGACAGAUAAGAAAUGGCGCCCAACG